rnacentral:rRNA from 1 species
GGCGCACGGGUGCGUAACGCGUAUGCAACCUACCCAAUGCUGGCGGAUAGCCCGGAGAAAUCCGGAUUAAGCCGUCAUGAGGAGCCUGUGGGGCAUCCCACGGGUUUCAAAUAUUCAUAGGCGUUGGAUGGGCAUGCGUGCUAUUAGAUAGUUGGCGGGGUAACGGCCCACCAAGUCGACGAUAGCUAGGGGAUCUGAGAGGACGGUCCCCCACACUGGUACUGAGACACGGACCAGACUCCUACGGGAGGCAGCAGUAAGGAAUAUUGGGCAAUGGGGGGAACCCUGACCCAGCCAUGCCGCGUGAAGGAUGGAGGCCCUACGGGUCGUAAACUUCUUUUGUCAGGGGAUAACAGACAGUACGCGUACUGUUUUGAAGGUACCUGAAGAAUAAGCAUCGGCUAACUCCGUGCCAGCAGCCGCGGUAAUACGGAGGAUCCAAGCGUUAUCCGGAUUUAUUGGGUUUAAAGGGUGCGUAGGCGGUUUGAUAAGUUAGAGGUGAAAUACCGGGGCUCAACUCCGGAACUGCCUCUAAUACUGUUGAACUAGAGAGUAGUUGCUGUGGGCGGAAUGUAUGGUGUAGCGGUGAAAUGCUUAGAGAUCAUACAGAACACCGAUUGCGAAGGCAGCUCACAAAACUAUAUCUGACGUUGAGGCACGAAAGCGUGAGGAGCAAACAGGAUUAGAUACCCUGGUAGUCCCACGCAUUAACGAUGAUAAUUCCCUGUCGGCGAUACACAGUCGGUGGGCCAAGCGAAAGCGAUAAGUUAUCCACCUGGGGGAGUACGUUCGCAAGAAUGAAACUCAAAGGAAUUGACGGGGGCCCGCACAAGCGGAGGAACAUGUGGUUUAAUUCGAUGAUACGCGAGGAACUUUCCCCGGGCUUGAAAGUUAGCGACGGACUGGGAAACAGGUCUUCCCUUGGGGGCGCGAAACUAGGUGCUGCAUGGUUGUCGUCAGCUCGUGCCGUGAGGUGUCGGGUUAAGUCCCAUAGCGAGCGCACCCCCUACCGUUAGUUGCCAUCAGGUGAAGCUGGGCACUCUGGCGGGACUGCCGGUGUAAGCCGAGAGGAAGGUGGGGAUGACGUCAAAUCAGCACGGCCCUUACGUCCGGGGCUACACACGUGUUACAAUGGUAGGUACAGAGGGUCGCUACCCCGCGAGGGGAUGCCAAUCUCGAAAGCCUAUCUCAGUUCGGAUUGGAGGCUGAAACCCGCCUCCAUGAAGUUGGAUUCGCUAGUAAUCGCGCAUCAGCCAUGGCGCGGUGAAUACGUUCCCGGGCCUUG